AGAGUUUGAUCCUGGCUCAGAUUGAACGCUGGCGGCACGCCUUACACAUGCAAGUCGAACGGCAGCAUGAUCUAGCUUGCUAGAUUGAUGGCGAGUGGCGAACGGGUGAGUAAUACAUCGGAACGUGCCCUGUAGUGGGGGAUAACUAGUCGAAAGAUUAGCUAAUACCGCAUACGACCUGAGGGUGAAAGUGGGGGACCGCAAGGCCUCAUGCUAUAGGAGCGGCCGAUGUCUGAUUAGCUAGUUGGUGAGGUAAAGGCUCACCAAGGCGACGAUCAGUAGCUGGUCUGAGAGGACGAUCAGCCACACUGGGACUGAGACACGGCCCAGACUCCUACGGGAGGCAGCAGUGGGGAAUUUUGGACAAUGGGCGAAAGCCUGAUCCAGCAAUGCCGCGUGUGUGAAGAAGGCCUUCGGGUUGUAAAGCACUUUUGUCCGGAAAGAAAUGGCUCUGGUUAAUACCUGGGGUCGAUGACGGUACCGGAAGAAUAAGGACCGGCUAACUACGUGCCAGCAGCCGCGGUAAUACGUAGGGUCCAAGCGUUAAUCGGAAUUACUGGGCGUAAAGCGUGCGCAGGCGGUUGUGCAAGACCGAUGUGAAAUCCCCGAGCUUAACUUGGGAAUUGCAUUGGUGACUGCACGGCUAGAGUGUGUCAGAGGGGGGUAGAAUUCCACGUGUAGCAGUGAAAUGCGUAGAGAUGUGGAGGAAUACCGAUGGCGAAGGCAGCCCCCUGGGAUAACACUGACGCUCAUGCACGAAAGCGUGGGGAGCAAACAGGAUUAGAUACCCUGGUAGUCCACGCCCUAAACGAUGUCAACUAGUUGUUGGGGAUUCAUUUCCUUAGUAACGUAGCUAACGCGUGAAGUUGACCGCCUGGGGAGUACGGUCGCAAGAUUAAAACUCAAAGGAAUUGACGG
rnacentral:rRNA from 1 species